CGGAAUCUCACACACAGAGAGCUGUCACCGUGGGUCUCUGACUACGGGUCUCCAGGCUUGGCUCUCCAGCCUGACUCAGCUCCCUUUGGAAUACGCUACUGAAUGGGAGGAAGAAAGACUCUCGUCUUAACAGCCACCAAGCAGAGACCAUGGACAGCAGUUGCUGAGCAGAGGAGGAAAGAAGGCACAGAAGGACUCGGUGAAAAUGAAGCUCAGGUGCCCAGGAGCCCUCCAACGCCCGCCUGGAGAAGAGCGGUGUCAAAAGCUCAGGAUAACCACCAUCCCUGCUUUGUCUGGACGACCGAAACAGUAUCCCCAUUUUCAACGGAUUCCUUUUACGAAAGAAAGCUGCUGAUGUGUCCACUAUAAGCCAGCCCUGGGCUCCAAGCUGGGGAGAAGACAACCUUGAAGGUCUUGCCAUCUGGUACACGACUGUCUGGAGGAGCAACAGAGAAGCACGUGGCACCUUAAGUCUGUCUCUCACUUGCCGACUCAAAACACUCAGGUGAAGUUCCAGUCAGACACUUGGUGUGUGCACGUGCGUGUGUAUCUGUGUGAACGUGUGUAUCCGUGUCUGUGGUGUGUGUGUGUGUGUGUGUGUGUGAAAUGUUACCACAUGCAGUUUGCACCUAUUCCCACCUCUAUCUCUCCUGUCUCUGAGAGACCAGGGAAGAAUGUUUACUGAAAAAAGAAAAAAAAAAAACGACCGUCUUCAUACUCCACAAUAACGUUUACUUCACUUACCCCGCUUAGACUAGUCCCUGUUAGAAGACUACCCCCUCGUUGCCUGCUCACACCCUGGUCUCCUUCGAACCCCUGUUGUCACGCAGAAGCCACCUCAAGCUCCAGGACUGUUCCUCCUGGGCCCCGCUCAGCUCCUUCCCCGUGGCCUUCUGGAAUCGGGAAGGGAAGGCGGCAGGGAGAGCAUGUCACAUCAGGUGACUGCGCUUUUGAGUGUUCUCCAGUUCCAGAAGCCUGCCAUGCUUACAAACAGUUUGCAUAAUACCUUGUUCAUUAAGACCCAUAAAUUAGCACUGUUUUAAUUGAUUUCCUAGAGGCAGUAAAUAAAAUGACACAGAAUGACAUCAGAUGUGGGAAGUGACACGGGGUGGGUAGUUCUUUCUUCCUCUCAGUGUCUGCUUUCUCUCUCUCUCUCUGACGCCCCAGAGCCUUGAUAACUUUUUAGCUAGGCCUUUGUUCAAGCCCGUGUGAAACCUCAGUGCCCUGAGCAGCUUCCAGGGCUCUGGGAGAACAGAACUGCUGUGCUUGGCACCCUGAGUCGCCAAAGCUGGCUGUGCUCACUAAAGGAGUAGGUAUGAUCAGACCACAAAUGAGGUCUGGCAAUUUCGCUAAUCACGAAAACAACUCUAAUUGUGAAAUAAAAAAUCUCCAUCCCUUGUUACAGCAGCGUCAGCCAUUCAGUGACCAUGUUAUUAGUAUCACUCUGGCUUCCUGGUGGGUCCCUGGCCACAGACCUGGCUGCUCUGGGAAUGACAAAGGAGGCUGACGUCUGCGGAGACUCUUUCUGUGCCAGAUACUGCACAGGGGCUGCACAUGCGAUCUCUCGCUCCAAUCCAGAUAAAUUGAUAUCGAUUUCUCUGUUUCUGCAGGUGAAAGCAUAGAAAUUCAGAGAGGUUAAGAAUCUGGCUCAAGGUCACAGAGCGUGUGAAUAACAGAGCCAACGUUUAAACACAUGUUUCUGUGGCUUCAAAGCGUUUAUAUCCUCUAUCAAAUUGUGCUACGGUGAGAGCUUUUAUGUUUUGCUCAUAGAACAGCCAGGUAAAGGUAACCCUUCUUCUUCUCCUUUUCCUUCUCCUCCUCCUUCUUCUCUUUUCUUCUUCUUCAUUCUUGUUGAUUUUUGUUUUUUAAUUAAUUAAUUGAUUAAUGAACUUUACAUCCUAAUCGUAGCCCCCUCCCUCCUCUUCCCCCAGUCCCACUAUCCCUCUUUCUUCUCUCACGCCCUCUUCCCUAUUCCUCAGAUAAAGGGAGCCCCCCACCCCUACCCCAGCUCAUUAAGUCAAAUCUGGACAGAGCUCAUCCUCUUCCCCUGUGGUUUGUCAAUACAGCCCCGCCAGGGGGAAGUGAUCAGAAAGCAGGCAACAGAGCCUAUGUCAGAGACAGCCCCCCCUCCAUUACCAGGGCACCCACAUUGAAGCCUGAGCUGCACAUGGGCUACAUCUGUGUAGGGGGCCAAGGUCCAGUCUAUGUUGGUGCUAAAGUCUCCGCAAGCCCCUCUGGACCCAGGUUAGUUUAGCCUUGCUUCUUAAACAGCUCCUUCUCUACACCUACUGACACGCGACCUACACAGAGAACUCUGAAAGCACAUAUGAAUAAUUCAGUGUUUAUG